rnacentral:rRNA from 1 species
GGGUUGUGAGGUUAAGCGACUAAGCGUACACGGUGGAUGCCCUGGCAGUCAGAGGCGAUGAAGGGCGUGCUAAUCUGCGAUAAGCGCCGGUAAGGUGAUAUGAACCGUUAUAACCGGCGAUACCCGAAUGGGGAAACCCAGUGUGACUCGUCACACUAUCAUUAACUGAAUCCAUAGGUUAAUGAGGCGAACCGGGGGAACUGAAACAUCUAAGUACCCCGAGGAAAAGAAAUCAACCGAGAUUCCCCCAGUAGCGGCGAGCGAACGGGGAGGAGCCCAGAGCCUGAAUCAGCAUGUGUGUUAGUGGAAGCGUCUGGAAAGGCGCGCGAUACAGGGUGACAGCCCCGUACACAAAAGCGCACAUGCUGUGAGCUCGAUGAGUAGGGCGGGACACGUGGUAUCCUGUCUGAAUAUGGGGGGACCAUCCUCCAAGGCUAAAUACUCCUGACUGACCGAUAGUGAACCAGUACCGUGAGGGAAAGGCGAAAAGAACCCCGGCGAGGGGAGUGAAAAAGAACCUGAAACCGUGUACGUACAAGCAGUGGGAGCACAGGUUUACCUGUGUGACUGCGUACCUUUUGUAUAAUGGGUCAGCGACUUAUAUUCUGUAGCAAGGUUAACCGAAUAGGGGAGCCGGAGGGAAACCGAGUCUUAAUUGGGCGUUAAGUUGCAGGGUAUAGACCCGAAACCCGGUGAUCUAGCCAUGGGCAGGUUGAAGGUUGGGUAACACUAACUGGAGGACCGAACCGACUAAUGUUGAAAAAUUAGCGGAUGACCUGUGGCUGGGGGUGAAAGGCCAAUCAAACCGGGAGAUAGCUGGUUCUCCCCGAAAGCUAUUUAGGUAGCGCCUCGUGAAUUCAUCUCCGGGGGUAGAGCACUGUUUCGGCUAGGGGGCCAUCCCGGCUUACCAACCCGAUGCAAACUGCGAAUACCGGAGAAUGUUAUCACGGGAGACACACGGCGGGUGCUAACGUCCGUCGUGAAGAGGGAAACAACCCAGACCGCCAGCUAAGGUCCCAAAGUCAUGGUUAAGUGGGAAACGAUGUGGGAAGGCCCAGACAGCCAGGAUGUUGGCUUAGAAGCAGCCAUCAUUUAAAGAAAGCGUAAUAGCUCACUGGUCGAGUCGGCCUGCGCGGAAGAUGUAACGGGGCUAAACCAUGCACCGAAGCUGCGGCAGCGACGCUGAUGCGUUGUUGGGUAGGGGAGCGUUCUGUAAGCCUGCGAAGGUGGCCUGUGAGGGUUGCUGGAGGUAUCAGAAGUGCGAAUGCUGACAUAAGUAACGAUAAAGCGGGUGAAAAGCCCGCUCGCCGGAAGACCAAGGGUUCCUGUCCAACGUUAAUCGGGGCAGGGUGAGUCGACCCCUAAGGCGAGGCCGAAAGGCGUAGUCGAUGGGAAACGGGUUAAUAUUCCCGUACUUGGUGUUACUGCGAAGGGGGGACGGAGAAGGCUAUGUUGGCCGGGCGACGGUUGUCC